CGGGCUGCUUUACUGCUGAUGCUUUCAAAUCCACGCUUAUUAGAAGGUGAUGGAAAGCAUCUUGUGAAGGGUAGAGGAAAUUCCCCAGAAGUAGUAAAUGUGUUUAAACCACGGGACGGAAGGGUGAAGGUGACCGGGUAAGUCCUUCAGGGGAAGACGUCAGCGUGCUGGGUUGUUUGAGGUGGUUUGGGUGGAGUCUGGCCGGAGGCAGGGGACCCCCUGCAAUGACUUCUCAGGUUUCUUCUCAGCUGGGGCUGAUCUGAAGGCCCAGGGAGAGCACAGAACGGAGCAGAGCUGGGGUGCGAGGAGCCAGUGACGGGUUUGUUUUCCCUAUUUCACUGGGAGCGGGGCUCGCGCCUCCUGGCACCGGUCCUUCCUGGGGCCCCAGCUCCAGCUUGUUAGUUUUAACUGGAACAAUUUCCUUUGAACUCAGCUUGAAUUAGCAUCACCAUGGCGAUGGAUCAGAGUUUUCACAAGUCGACCUGGUCUUCACCCCUUAAGCAAUUAGUUCGGAGGAGAAAAGCAGGAGGAGGAGGAGGAGAAAGAGGAGGUGACAGUGAAGGGAGAACACAGGCAGGAAGGGAAGGGGAGAGGAGGGAGAUGGGAGGAGACGGAGGAAGAGGAAGAAGGUGCAAAGGUGCGUGGGGGCCCUGGCCUACCAGCUCAGCCCCGCCCCAGGGAACAGAGUACCCACCCUGCCCUUGUAAGCCUUUACCUCCCCAGCCCUUCCCACAUCGAACACCAGACCUUCCACAGGUAGCCCAAGAGGAAGGGGCACUGUUCCAGUUUCUCAGGGGAGACCCACAGCCCAGACCCUGGAGCAGUCACCCCCAGGCAGCCAGCCCACCUCUAGCCACUUCCUCCUGCACGGACCAGACACAGAGGCCAUCAAGAUGGCGCUGUGCAUGGAUGAAGAGAGUUAAAGAGCACCCCAAACCCAGAACACCCCUCCAAGGGUUCUGGAGAAUCCAGAUCUCGCCUGAGAAGAUCAGGCCUUUGGGAUACAUUGCUGGAGAGGCCAAGGACAUAAUUCAGCCCCAUCUGGAGCAGGCAGGGCCUGAAAAUUGAUGCCCAGCAAAGUAAGGGAACUUAGAGAGCUCAAGUUCUCUGGCUCCCCUCCACACGCACUGCCUGGCCACCCACUUGCCGGGCAUCCUGGAGCUGCACUAAACUCACCCCUCCUGGACUACCCUGGUGGUCCUGUGGUAAAGAGUCUGACUGCCAAUGCAGGGGACACGGGUUCGAUUCCUGCUCCGGGAAGAUUCCACAUGCUACAGGGCAACUGAACUUGCAUGCCCUAGAGCCGGUGCUCCGCAACAACAGAAGCCCCCACAAUGGGAAGUCUGCACACACCGCAACUCGAGAAGGCCUGUGAGCCGCAACGAAGACGCAGCGCAGCCAAAAAUAAAGAGAUAAAUAAAUUAAUAAACA
rnacentral:lncRNA from 1 species